AUUUAUGUAUUUUGGAAUCGAGAAACUCUUUUAAAAAUUAUUAAAAAUGAAAUAAAAACUGGAACGAAAAUUUAUAGUGACCAAUGGAGAGCGUAAUCAACAUUAAAUCAUCAUCAAAGUUAACCAUUUAGAAUUUUAUUGAUCGGGAAACAAGAGCACACACUCAACAAAUAGAAGCCUUAUGGAGAAUUAUAAAAUCCAAAUAUAAUAUUAAAAAUAAUGGGGCGUCUCCUUUACUUGAUAGACAACUCCAAGAAGAGUGGUGGAGAUCGUGUCAAAAUCUAAAAACCAUUUUUAAUAACUUUUCGACUGAUAUGAAAAAAACAUUUCAUAACAAUAUGGACUGCAACAACACAGUUAUUGACGACACUGAGAAGUGGAAUAAAAAAAAGUAAAAAACAAUAGUUAUGAAAUUGGUACCACUGAAGGUAAACUUCAACAACUUUAUGCUAGAAACCAAUUUGAAAUAUGCAAAGAGUCGUUUGUCCAGAUUGUAGCAGUACCAGUAACAUCUCCGAUAUCACUAAGAGAAACAGCUAGAAAAUUUUCAAAUAUUGGCGGUCAAGGAUAUGACCGGUGUAACUAUAAACAGCAAUGCAAGACAAAUAAAUGUAAGUGUAGGGCUGCAGGUAAACUACUUCUAAAUGCCAUGA
rnacentral:misc_RNA from 1 species